rfam:Bdellovibrionales bacterium RIFOXYC1_FTLL_37_79 rifoxyc1_full_scaffold_191, whole genome shotgun sequence.
GGAGAGAUGCCGGAGUGGUCGAACGGGAUGGUUUCGAAAACCAUUGAUCGCUUUUUGCGGUCCGGGGGUUCGAAUCCCCCUUUCUCCG